rnacentral:tRNA from 2 species
ACCUGGCUGGCUCAGUCGGUAGAGCAUGCAAUUCUUAAUCUCAGGGUUGUGAGUUCAAGCCUCACGUUGGGCA